rnacentral:rRNA from 1 species
CAAGUCGAGCGAGAACCAGGGCUUCGGCCCUGGGGAAAGCGGCGAACGGGUGAGUAACACGUGAGUCAUCCACCCUCGGUACCGGGAUAGCCCGGGGAAACCCGGAUUAAUACCGGAUGGCCCAACAGCUCUUCGGGGCGGUUGGAAAAGGUAGCUUCGGCCUCCGACCGAGGACGAGCUCGCGGCGGAUUAGCUUGUUGGCGGGGUAACGGCCCACCAAGGCGACGAUCCGUAGCUGGUCUGAGAGGACGAUCAGCCACACUGGGACUGAGACACGGCCCAGACUCCUACGGGAGGCAGCAGUGGGGAAUCUUGCGCAAUGGGCGAAAGCCUGACGCAGCGACGCCGCGUGCGGGAAGAAGGCCUUCGGGUUGUAAACCGCUUUCAGGAGGGACGAAGCCACUCGGGUUAAUAGCCCAGAGGGUGACGGUACCUCCAGAAGAAGCCCCGGCUAACUACGUGCCAGCAGCCGCGGUAAUACGUAGGGGGCAAGCGUUGUCCGGAUUUAUUGGGCGUAAAGAGCGUGUAGGCGGUUAUACAGGUCCGCUGUGAAAACUGGAGGCUUAACCUCCAGACGUCGGUGGAAACCGUAUAACUAGAGUCCGGAAGAGGAGAGUGGAAUUCCUGGUGUAGCGGUGAAAUGCGCAGAUAUCAGGAAGAACACCCGUGGCGAAGGCGGCUCUCUGGGACGGUACUGACGCUGAGACGCGAAAGCGUGGGGAGCGAACAGGAUUAGAUACCCUGGUAGUCCACGCCGUAAACGAUGGGUGCUAGGU